rnacentral:misc_RNA from 1 species
GAUGAAGAACGUAGCGAAAUGCGAUAAGUAAUGUGAAUUGCAGAAUUCCGUGAAUCAUCGAGUCUUUGAACGCACAUUGCGCCCCCUGGUAUUCCGGGGGGCAUGCCUGUCCGAGCGUCAUUGCUGCCCUCAAGCACGGCUUGUGUGUUGGGCCCCGUCCUCCGAUCCCGGGGGACGGGCCCGAAAGGCAGCGGCGGCACCGCGUCCGGUCCUCGAGCGUAUGGGGCUUUGUCACCCGCUCUGUAGGCCCGGCCGGCGCUUGCCGAUCAACCCAAAUUUUUAUCCAGGUUGACCUCGGAUCAGGUAGGGAUACCCGCUGAACUUAAGCAUAUCAAUAAGCGGAGGA